UCAAACUUGGUCAUUUAGAGGAAGUAAAAGUCGUAACAAGGUUUCCGUAGGUGAACCUGCGGAAGGAUCAUUAAAGUAUAUUAUAGAAUCAUUUAUGAUUCUACAAUCUAUCUUUGUGGUAACAAUGAAAAAAUCAGAUUUGAGUUUAAAGAUGAUGUCAUAUAUCUAAGAGAUUAGUAUAUAAGGCAUCGGCUCAAAUUUUCUUUAUCAACUCUUAUUAUUAUAUGACUGAUAUUUAUCAAGUUUUUAAACCUUAAUAAAGUUUAAAAAAAUGUUUUAAAUAACUUUCAACAACGGAUCUCUUGGUUCUCGCAUCGAUGAAGAACGCAGC
rnacentral:misc_RNA from 1 species